rnacentral:rRNA from 1 species
CCUACGGGAGACAGCAGUGAGGAAUAUUGGUCAAUGGACGAGAGUCUGAACCAGCCAAGUAGCGUGAAGGAGGACUGCACUGUGUGUUGUAAACUUCUUUUAUAUGGGAAUAAAAUGUUACACGUGUGGGCUUUUGUAUGUACCAUAUGAAUAAGGAUCGGCUAACUCCGUGCCAGCAGCCGCGGUAAUACGGAGGAUCCGAGCGUUAUCCGGAUUUAUUGGGUUUAAAGGGUGCGUAGGUGGAUUGUUAAGUCAGUUGUGAAAGUUUGCGGCUCAACCGUAAAAUUGCAGUUGAAACUGGCAGUCUUGAGUACAGUAGAGGUGGGCGGAAUUCGUGGUGUAGCGGUGAAAUGCUUAGAUAUCACGAAGAACUCCGAUUGCGAAGGCAGCUCACUGGACUGCAACUGACACUGAGGCUCGAAAGUGUGGGUAUCAAACAGGAUUAGAUACCCCAGUAGUC